GCACCCGCACAAGUGGUGGAGCAUGCUGUUUAAUUCGAAGAUACGCGAAGAACCUUACCUAGGCUUGACAUAGCGUUGAAAAUUCUAGAAAUAGAAUCUCUUCUUCGGAAGCAACGUUACAGGUGGUGCAUGGUUGUCGUCAGCUCGUGUCGUGAGAUGUUCGGUUAAGUCCGAUAACGAGCGCAACCCUCGUCCUUAAUUGCUAACAUUUAGUUGAGAACCUUAAGGAGACUGCCGAUGAUGAAUCGGAGGAAGGUGGGGAUGACGUCAAAUCAUCAUGCCCCUUACGUCUAGGGCUACAAGCGUGCUACAAUGGCCGAUAUAAAAAGUUGCAAUAUCGCGAGAUGGAGCAAAUCUCUAAAGUCGGUCUCAGUUCGGAUUGGAGUCUGCAACUCGACUCCAUGAAGUUGGAAUCACUAGUAAUCGUGGAUCAGAAUGCCACGGUGAAUACGUUCCCGGGUGUU
rnacentral:rRNA from 1 species